GUAGGGGUGAACCUGCGGAGGGAUCAUUACCGAGUUUACAACUCCCAAACCCCUGUGAACAUACCAAUUGUUGCCUCGGCGGAUCAGCCCGCUCCCGGUAAAACGGGACGGCCCGCCAGAGGACCCCUAAACUCUGUUUCUAUAUGUAACUUCUGAGUAAAACCAUAAAUAAAUCAAAACUUUCAACAACGGAUCUCUUGGUUCUGGCAUCGAUGAAGAACGCAGCAAAAUGCGAUAAGUAAUGUGAAUUGCAGAAUUCAGUGAAUCAUCGAAUCUUUGAACGCACAUUGCGCCCGCCAGUAUUCUGGCGGGCAUGCCUGUUCGAGCGUCAUUUCAACCCUCAAGCCCAGCUUGGUGUUGGGACUCGCGAGUCAAAUCGCGUUCCCCAAAUUGAUUGGCGGUCACGUCGAGCUUCCAUAGCGUAGUAGUAAAACCCUCGUUACUGGUAAUCGUCGCGGCCACGCCGUUAAACCCCAACUUCUGAAUGUUGACCUCGGAUCAGGUAGGAAUACCCGCUGAACUUAAGCAUAUCAAUAGCGGAGGAA
rnacentral:rRNA from 1 species